rnacentral:rRNA from 1 species
UACAGGGGGUGCAAACGUUGCUCGGAAUUACUGGGCGUAAAGCGCACGUAGGCGGCUCUUUAAGUCGGAGGUGAAAUCCUGGAGCUCAACUCCAGAACUGCCCUCGAUACUGAAGAGCUCGAGUCCGGGAGAGGUGAGUGGAACUGCGAGUGUAGAGGUGAAAUUCGUAGAUAUUCGGAAGAACACCAGUGGCGAAGGCGGCUCACUGGCCCGGUACUGACGCUGAGGUGCGAAAGCGUGGGGAGCAAACAGG